ACAGCAUAAAUCUUUAAGGAAAAAGGGAGAUGAGGAGAGGGACCAGAACUCUUCAGCCCCUAACUGAUGGGCUAACAGGGAACUACAGGUGUAGCUUUGAAGUGGGUGAGCCUGAGCUUUUUGAGUGACAAGUGAAAAGAUAACAACAAAGAUCAGGAAUGUCUGAGAGGAUCCUGUGGGAGUGUGCAAAACUUUUAAGGAAGGCUUAGGAAGGGGGAAGGAUCAAAGGUGUGAGAAAUGGGGGAGUGGGGAGGAAGGACAAAAAGUUUAAGUCAGUACACCUGCUGGGAUCAUCACUGCUCCAGAGAAGCCAGGCUCCACACAAGGCUAUUAGCUGUGCUGAGGGCCGAUGCUAACAUUAAUGGGGUGCAUGAAUGUGGGAGUGCUUGCAGAACUAAUGGGUGAAGGUGUGUGCUUCCACUGGGGAACUGCAGUCCUGAUUAGCCAGAGAAGAGGAACAGGGCUUGGCUCUGAGCUUCAGGCUUAUAAGAGAACUGGCGUUGUUACCUGUGGGUGUUGCUAUGGCAGUGAGUGCCCUGCCUGUGCAGCCAGCAGAGUCAUUUCCAGCAGCUCUGUCGUCUUGGGGCUGGGAGGUGGUUUUCUGCCUCUUGCUCACUCACAAACAGGAGGCUCGGUCUCAGCAUGCACCGCAGCUUUCUCGUCCUCACUGCCUUCCUGGGACAACUGCUGGGUGUCAUGGGGCAGACCAUUGUCAGCCAGCAAGAAGGACAGGUCACAGUGCAGGAGAGAAACACCUUCCAGACCACCUGCACGUACCAGGCAGCUAACUUUUAUGGUUUGUUUUGGUACCAGCAGAAGAAAGGCCAAGCUCCUCAGCUGGUCACAUAUGAGGCAGCAGCAGGCUCCAAGCAGAACGGCCGUUUCACCACGUGGCUGAACACCACCGGGAAAUACAGCCUGCUGCGGCUGGCAGAAGUCGAGCUGUCUGACAGCGCCUUGUACCUCUGUGCUGUGCAGGACACCCUGGUGCAGGGAGCUCCCUUGGCCGUGCAACAACCCCAGGGAGGGAGGAGUGGCUGUGAGCAGAGCCCAGGUGCAGCAGGAGCCGCUGGCAGCAACCACCGAGGACAUCGUAGUCAGCAUCACCUGCUCACACCCCAACAUUCAGUCUUACGCUGAUAUAUACUGGUACCGUCAGUUCCCGGGCCGGAGCCCCGCAUUCAUCGGGUUCAUUUAUGAAGGUUCCAAGGACGUGCCGGACCCGGCGGGGCAGCUGUCGGUGUCGGCAGACCGCCGCUCCAGCGCCCUGCGGCUCGCCCGGCCCCGGCUUAGGGACGCGGCGCUGUAUUACUGCGCCGUGGACCCACAGAAGCGAAGCCGGGGCUGCGGCCGGGCACGAACCGCGGCGGGCGGCACAGCUCGGCCCGCAGGGGGCGCUGCGGUGCUGGAAGACUUCCACCCAGCCCAGCGUUCAAUGAUCUGCUCGCGAUUGCUUUCCAAGAGCAUGAGUUUUUUUAACAGGGUUUUGUCUUGCCCCAAACACAGCACCUUUGGUAUAGAGAUGACUUCCUGACAUUACAACAAGUAUCCGCACUUAAUGCUCAUUCUAAUGACCCCUCUUUUUAACUCAUUUCUUGCCACAGUGCUAAUUUAUCCACGCAGGAUCCUCCAAGAGAAGAGCUGGUAGGCACCGGUUCUCACUGCCUUUGAGAAGGCAUUAAAAAUAUUCAGCUUUAGUGCUUAGCUGAGUCAGGGGGUUUCUGCAGCCCGUGUUGAAUCAGGAGGCUAUGUGCACAUAUACCUGACAGCUGAGCAGAGGAGAAGGGCAGUAGAAGCAAUCCCUUAUCCAUUGGCAGCAGAGGUGCAGGUAUCUGAGUCUGGCUGAGUUUUGAAUGGCAGGGGUAGCUCACUGAGGACACUUGCUCUUUGCUGGGACUGGCUGUGAGCAUCAGGAAAGGCAAAGUGAGGGAAGUACAUAGCGGUCACUUUUGGGACUUCUUACCUUAUCACUAAGUGACCUUCACAACCAGCAAAUUCAGCUAUGGCCUGACCACACAAGGCAGUUGUUCUUGAAGACCUCUGUAGGUCCCCUGCAAUCAUUCCGUUCCAUGGAAGAAGCUCCCAGUACUGAAAAGUCUGUGCCUGACCAUAGCUAACCCUCACCACAGGACAGAUUGAUUUGAUUUUUCUCUUGAGAGCUUUAACCACCAGUUCCUCUUCACUCUUGAGAUCCUUACUGUGGAAGAGGUGUGCCCCUCUGGAGCAGCAGAGAGAGCUUUGCUCCACCCCCGCUGUUGAAGUCUAGAGGCUGCUUAUGGCUGGCAGAAAGAGAAGCUGAGAACUUGCCAGCUUCAGCUCUCUCAUUCCAAGCACUGCCUGAUACCCAGUGAAGGCAAGAGUGUGACAUGGUCCUGCUUUUUCUGACAGCCUUGAUGGGACUGACAGACUUCGGUGAGAUGUGAUAUUCAGAGAGGGGAAGACUGGGGCAAGAGAGCACCCCAUCAUUUCUGGAGGGGGGGGAAGUACAAAUGCUGUCUUCGUGGUAGAACUGGAAAUAUUUUCUGUAGGUAUAGCAGGACCUGCAGAUGGGUACAGCAAAUAAUCUGGCAGAUGUCAGCAGCAAUGACAGUAUGGAGAUGAAUAGGUCUCUGGCCUUCUCUUUUGCAGAUACCUAGCAGUUUACAUGCACUAUUCAUAGGUAUGUAUGGUGAAAGAAGGAUUGCUACUAGGGAACAGACCAGAACAGUAGAUAGGAGCUUGUGUCCUCUGGGAUGUACUGGAGAAAAUGCUGUUAGUCUGUGUGGAGAUGGGUGUAAUCCUUGAUAGAGCAGGAAAGAAGGCUGAGUCCGUGCAAGAACUUAGAUGUGGCUCAAGGACAAAGCACGGACAGAAUAUGUAGGAUGGAGCAUGGGGUAAAUUUCACAGUAAGAAAUCACGAAGUGAGGUGGGACAUAGCUCACCUCUUCUGCCAAAAGAAAUAAAGGAUUAAUACAGCUCAGGAAUUGACAGAACAGAUGGAUUCAGAACCUAGAGUGAUAAAACAGGUAAGCUGACAGCCUUGGGUAUGAGUAGCAAAAGAAAAGUGCAUGUAUACUUAGCUCAGGAUUUUACAGCCUGUGAAAAUGAAAUGUAGAGCGGAGACAGUGAGCAGGUUGGCACAAUGACAGAUGCAUGGGAGAGAGAGAAUGGAUAUGUAGUCAAGCUGUGCUGAAAUGUCUUUCUGGCUUUACAGGUCGUGCACAGAAGGACUUUGUGCUGCAGUAUCCACAAGAAACAGCUGUUCAGACAGGACAUGAGACAAGUCUGCACUGCAAUUUCUCCACCAGCAGCUCGGUUUUCUACAUGUA